UACGUAGGGGGCUAGCGUUGUCCGGAUUUAUUGGGCGUAAAGAGCGUGUAGGCGGUCAAGUAAGUCCGGUGUGAAAACUCGAGGCUUAACCUCGAGAUGUCAUCGGAAACCAUUUGGCUAGAGUCCGGAAGAGGAAAGUGGAAUUCUUGGUGUAGCGGUGAAAUGCGUAGAUAUCAGGAAGAACACCAGUGGCGAAAGCGCUCUGCUGGGCCGUAACUGACACUGAGGGACGAAAGCGAGGGGAGCAAAUGGG
rnacentral:rRNA from 1 species